rnacentral:rRNA from 1 species
AUUAGCGGCGGACGGGUGAGUAACACGUGAGUAACCUGCCUUAGACAUUGGGAUAGCCUCGGGAAACCGGGAUUAAUACCAAAUAAAAUCAUAAUGACACAUGUCAUAACGAUCAAAACUCCGGUGGUCUAAGAUGGACUCGCGUCCCAUUAGCUAGUUGGUAGAGUAAGAGCCUACCAAGGCGACGAUGGGUAGCCGGCCUGAGAGGGUGAACGGCCACAUUGGAACUGAGAAACGGUCCAA